rnacentral:lncRNA from 1 species
GUUCUGAAGGUUGAAGGAGUUGCAUGGGGUUGUGACAAGAGCACAAUGGUUUUUUCCGGAGUUUAACGGAUAUGUUUCCAGUGUGUGGAGGUGUGUUAGUAUACUUCCUUUUUCUUCCUCCGUUUUAGCUUACGAUUCCGUUUCCGAGUUUUGUUGUUCCUCUUUAUUUGUGGCUUAUGUUUUGUUUUCUAGAUUUGGUUUGAUGUGGGUUAUUAUGUGAGUUAUAUGAGAGGAGGAGAGUUAUGUCAUGGUUUAUGUGUUGUUGUGAGGAUGAAAAAUGAGUUAUGUGUUUGUGAGAUUUUGGAAGUUAUUGUUGAUGUUUAGAGAGGGAAAAAAGAGUAUGAAGAGUUAUGGUGUGUUGGUAUGAAAAUGAUUUUUUGGUGAUUAUGUGGUGAUGGAAAAGAUGAAGGUGAUUAUGUUGUAGAGAAGAUGAUGAGGAAAAAUGAAGAUUGUUUUGGUGAGUAGAGUGGAGAAGAAGGAAAAGUGAGGGUGGGUGAAAAAAAGUUGCAGGUGAAGAAGAAUGCAGUAUGUGGUUUUCUUGAAGAAGAGGAAAAAAUAUAAUAUAUUGAGAUGAGAAAACCUCACGUGCAUGAAAGAAAAACAAAAUAUCUCUUGGACAGUGUUUGGAUCUUUCUCUUUGGGAAAAAAACGUUUUUUUUAACAUGUGUGUGUGAGUUGGCCACGUGGCCUUUCAUGAAUGGAGAAGGAGAACAUAUUUUUCUUGAUUUUUUAAUUUUAGCAAGUGCUAAAAACUAAAAAAUAAUAAUUUUUAAAAAAACAUAAAAUAAAAACGUAGAAAAUUCUAUUUAAUCGAAUAAAAAAUAAACGGAUAAAAAAUAAAUAAAAAUUGGGUGAAAGAAUGCUAAAAAAUAAAUAAACUGAACACAUUAAAUUAAUCAGCGCGAAAUAAAUUUUUCAGAAACAUACAGGUUUUGAUCAAAUUUUACAAUAAAAAUUUACCAGUUAAAAGGCUCAGGCAGAUAAAAAUGCGACAUAAAAUGUAGUUGAAAAAUUAAAAUGAGCACACCGGGUUAAACUACGCGAAUCGUAGAUUAAGAAAACCGUCGUAUGAAAGCUCAAUUUUGAAAUUCUUCGCCCGCUAAUUUGAUGCACAAUUAAGAAACGAUUCGACCGAUCUGUUUGUAGGUCUGAAAAUUUUAUCUGGCUGAUAUUCUAAACUAUACGGAACAAAAAUGCAUGUUGUGACAAGUAUAAAAUACAAACGUCUUGUAAAUGAAAUAAAUUGCUGACUGAAUAAAUGUGAGCAGACAAUCAGACAUAAAUGAAUCUCUCUUAGACCAUUUGCUUCUGAUUUUAAAAUACAAAUAAAAUCAUGCAAAGAUUCAGAUGACGACAAUACUCUUAAUUGUCACCCUCUGAUCCUCUGAAAUCAUGAUAAAAUGGAAACAAAUGAUGCACUGAGAUUGAGAAAUCAAACCUUUUGACUUCUUAAUCAAUAAAUGACUGAAUAAACAUCAUCAAGAUCAUAUAAAAUUCCAGAACUCCUGACUUUUCAUCUAAACCCUGAUAGACCCUUUUAAUUGAAUAAAUGCAUGGCAAAAUGGAUCGAUUUAUGUUAUGCUGAUGCGAGUGAAAAACUCAAGGUGAAAUUUAGGGUAUGAAAGAUGCCCUUUUUAAAACAUCUUUAACCGGAGGAUAUGAAGAACUCUUGUCUUCAAAUCAUCAUGGUAAAAGAUAGUUUAAAUACCAAACAAACCCAAAAUUUUCCCUUCUAUGCGAAAGAAAGAUAUGUUUGUGAUUAUGGAUGAAUGCACAGGGACUCUAGAUUUCUUAAUCAACAAAUGGUAAUACGAAUGAAUGCGAACGAGAUUUAGGAAAUACUCUUGAUUUCCUAAUCGUCGGAUGAUAUGGAUGCAAUGUAAGUUAAGAAGUACUCCCGACUUCUUAGAGAUGAAUGAUUAAGAAAUACUCUUGAUCUCUUAAUCAUAAUAUGAUUGAAUGAAAUGAAAAUUAAUUAAGAAAUACUUCUUGAUUCUUAAUCAUGAAUACAAGUGAGUUGAGAAAUGCUCUUGAAUUCUCAAUCAUGAGAUUACAAAUGAAUGUAAGUUAAGAAAUACUCUUGAUUUCUUAAUCAUGAAUGUAAUGAAUUGAGAAAUGCUCUUGAUUUCUCAUAUGACAUGCAGAUGAGUUAAGAAAUACUCUUGAUUUCUUAAUCAUGAAUGUAAAUGAAAUAAGUAUGAGUUAAGAAAUACUCUUGAUUUCUUAAUCGAUGAAUGUAAAUGAAUUGAGAAAUGCUCUUGAUUUCUCAGAUGAAAUGCAAAUGAAUUAAGAAAUACUCUUGAUUCCUUAAUCAUGAAUGUAAAUGAAUUGAGAAAUGCUCUUGAUUUCUCAGAUGGCGCAGAUGAGUUAAGAAAUACUCUUGAUUUCUUAAUCAUGAAUGUAAAUGAAAUAUGUAUGAGUUAAGAAAUCUCUUGAUUUCUUAAUCAUGAGUGUAAAUGAAUUGAGAAAUGCUCUUGAUUUCUCAGAUGAAAUGCAAAUGAAUUAAGAAAUACUCUUGAUUCCUUAAUCAUGAAUGUAAGUGAAUUGAGAAAUGCUCUUGAUUUCUCAGAUGACAUGCAGAUGAGUUAAGAAAUACUCUUGAUUUCUUAAUCAUGAAUGUAAAUGAAAUAUGUAUGAGUUAAGAAAUCUCUUGAUUUCUUAAUCAUGGGAAUGCAGAUGAAUUAAGAAAUACUCUUGAUUCCUUAAUCAUGAAUGUAAAUGAGAAAUGCUAUUGAUUUCUCAUAUGACAUGCAAAUGACUGGGGAUGAGAGAAUCAUGUUCAACUUCCUUUGAAUGACGAUAGAUCUAUGGGAUGAAUUUGUUACAAAGUAACAUGCUCGAUUGGUCUUCAAACGCUCUUUGCUGAAGGUAGAAAAAAAUGAUCAUAUUCAGUUGCUCUUGGCUAAAGAUGUCAUAUCUUGCAACUCUUGGCUGAAACUGAUGCAUUCAACGACUCUUGGUUGAAGCAAAAACUGUAAAAUAAAAUAGUGUUCAAUUGUUUUUUGCUGAAAGCACUGCAUUCCACUAUUCAUGGUUGAAGCAAAUCUGGGAGAUAAAAAAUAGUGUUCAGCUGCUCUUGGUUGAAAUUAUUGCAUAAAAUAAAAUGGUGUCCAGCUGCUCUUGGCUGAAACUAAUGCAUUCAACUACCCUUGGUUGAAGUAAACUGCUGGAAAAUAAAAUAGUAUUCAGCUGCUCUUUGCUGAAACUAAUGCAUUCAACUGAUCUUGGUUGAUGCAAAUUGCUGGGAAAUAAACAAAAUGCUUCCUUUGGGGAAUAACCGCAUGUUCAUCUGCUCUUGGCUGACAGAAGACUCUUUUGGGGAAUGAGAAGAUCCCAGAGACUUGUUGGGGAUGAAAAGUUAAUGAUAUUCAAAAGGAUUAACCUUACUCUCAAUUAUCGAAUUGACAGGUCCAACCUAACACUCCAUCACAUAGUAGAUCAACACGGAACACUAACUCUUCCGAGGAUUGAUUGAACAAACCUGUUGGGGAAUACAAGAGACUCUCUGGGAAAUAAACACACAGGAGGCUCGUUGGAGAUAUACUGAGGAACAUUCAGUAAAGCUUGUUUGUUCAUGGAUCUCUCGUCCAUUAGACUCAUUGGGGAGAUUUCUAACUUAUGAAGAGAUGUCCAUCUUAGACAGCUACUUCAAGGAGACUUGUUGAAGAUAAAAUUAUUGGGGAUCCCUUGCUUAAGGAAUCCUGCUUGUAAAAAAAACCUCGCUUGGGGAGUUCAUGAAAUUUUUCCGGAGAAGAUACAAUGUUGGAGAAACUCUGUGGGGAGAUAUCUACUAGGGAAACCAAGCAGAAAUUCCGUUGAUACCAGAGUUCCAAUGGGAGAACAUCAAUCACCUUGUAGGGGAAGAAACUUGUCUUAAGAAUUAAUUCCAACAAUGAUUGUACUCUGAAAGUAUUGUAGUGUUGAAGAAGAGAACUGUUCUACUCGUGAGAACACCCCUUGCAUCUUGGUUUGCUAAGGAUUACACUGAACUUUCUUGAGAGGUUGCUGAAUCCGGCUGGGGUUUAUGCAUGAUCUGUUUUGUACGUGAUAUGGAAAAUGAAUGUGAAAGCAUAAAUAUAUAAGUUUAUGCAUUUUGUGGGUAUCAAGCUCGGAUUCCCCAACGCCUUGUCUUGGAGAGUUUUGUCACCAUGAAGAUGAUUUUUUUGUUGUAAAAAAAGUUCUGAUUUCUGCUUUUCCGCCAAGCGGGCUUCAAUGAGGACUUCUUGCUUCUGGAAGAAAACCCAUUUUAAACUUGCUUUAGAUUACAAUGAUCUAGGAAAUGUCCCACGUCUUGUGAACCAGAUGCAUUAUUGUAAACCAACAAAAAUUCCUUUUAUACUUUCAAAAUCAAAACAAAUUAAAGUUUUCAAAAUCUUUGUCGUUUCCACUAUUUAUUUAUACUUUCAAAAUCAAAACAAAUUAAAGUUUUCAAAAUCUUUGUCGUUUCCACUAUUUUAAUGUUUUUAUCUUAUCAAAAAUAAAAAGCGACAUUAAGCAGAAAAACAGAAAUAAUUGGUAAAGUAAUGUUCAACUGAACAAUUUUAUUUGAUGAGAAGAAUAACUCAUACAUGGUAUUCAUGAAGAUGUAAACCCCUCUAAGAGGAGAUUACAAAGAAAGAAAGAAAGUAAAUGGCAAUAAAAAUUUAACUGAUUUUCCAACGAAAUACAACUUUACUACUUUCCCCUAUGUCCUCUACUCCUCAUUACUUUGCUUCUGGAGAUGGUAAUUGGACUGUUUUCUUCCAUCUGAGCUUUGUUACAGUGUUGACUUAUGUCGUUGCAGUAUUAUGCUUUUGGAUAUUCCCUAACUUUUACGCGAACUACUCCUUAAGAGUUUCAGUUCACUGGGAGAUUUUACCCUUUUUUGCUUAAGUCUCCCUUUCGGGUUUUCGACUUACCGGGCUUAAUUUUUUGUUUAUCCCUAAUUUUUGCCUGAGGCGCCCUUUCGGGUUUUCAACUCACCGGGAUGCUCAUUUUUUGCCUAAGUCUCCCUUUCGGGUUUUCAACUUAACGAGCUUUUAUGAUCCAUCUCUUUUUCUUAGGCAUAAUACUUUCUGACUGCAUCAGAAUUGACGAGGUGUAUCAACUCUUCUCCGUCCAUGUUCGUGAGAACUAAAGCUCCACCAAAGAAAGCUUUCUUCACCACAAAUGGUCCUUCAUAGUUUGGAAUCCACUUUCCACGUGAAUCCUUCUAGAGGAAGAUUAUCUUUUUCAAAACUAGUUCACCUACAUUAAACUCUCGAGGUCGAACCUUCUUGUCAAAUGCCCGCUUGAGCCUCCUCUGAUAUAACUGACCAUGACACAACACUGUCAUCCUCUUUUCUUCGAUUAGAUUGAGCUGGUUAAAUCUGGUUUGAAUCCAUUCUACUUCUUCUAAUUUUGUCUCCAUCAAGACUCUUAACGAGGGGAUCUCAACUUCUAUCGGUAACACAGCCUCCAUGCCAUAGACUAGUGAGAAAGGGGUUGCCCCUGUUGAAGUGUGAACAGCUGUUCGAUAUCCGUGCGAAGAAAAGGGUAGCAUCUCGUGCCAAUCUUAAUAAGUUUUCACCAUCUUCUGAAUGAUUUUCUUGAUAUUCUUGUUAGCUUCCUCUACAACUCCGUUCAUCUUUGGCCUAUAAGGUGACGAGUUAUGAUGUUCAAUCUUGAAAUUCUCGCACAACUCCUUCAUCAUUUUAUUAUUCAGAUUUGAUCCAUUAUCAGUGAUAAUCUUGCUAGGAGUUCCGUAGCGACAAAUUAUCUCUUUCUUGAUAAACCGAGUGAUGACUUGCUUUGUCACAUUGGCAUAAGAAGUUGCUUCUACCCACUUAGUGAAGUAGUCAAUGGCAACCAGAAUGAACCGAUGUCCAUUUGCAGCUUUAGGCUCAAUCAUACCAAUCAUUUCUAUGCCCCACAUUGAGAAUGGCCAUGGAGAUGAUAAAACAUUCAGAGGAGUAGGUGGCACGUGCACCUUGUCAGCAUAUAUUUGGCACUUGUGGCAUUUCCUGGCAUAGUGGUAACAAUAUGUUUCCAUUGUCAACCAAUAGUAACCAGCUCUAAGGAUUUUCUUCGCCAUUGCAUGUCCGUUUGCAUGAAUGCUGAAAGAACCUUUGUGGAUUUCUUUGAUGAGUAGGUCGGCUUCGUGUCUAUCCACGCAUCUGAGUAUAACUAAAUCAAAGUUUCUUUUGUAUAGAACACCACAACUUAGGAAGAAAUUGGCUGAUAACUUUCUUAAGGUCUUUUUAUCUGUGAUGGAUACAUCAUUUGGAUACUCGUUCUUCUCAAGAUAUCAUCUGAUGUCAUAAAACCAAGGCUUGCCAUCUGUUUCUGCUUCAACUGCCAAGCAAUAUGCUGGCUCGUCUAGACGUUGAAUUAUAAUAGCAGGUGAUUCGUUAGCCCACUUGACCUUGAACAUAGAUGACAGAGUAGCCAAGGCAUCGGCUAGCUGAUUCUCCUCCCUAGGAAUAUGAUGGAAAUUAAUCUCAUCAAAGUAGGGGAUUAGACUUCAUGACAUGCUCUCGGUAUGGGAUCAAAAUUGGGAUGGAGGGUCUCCAAUCUCCUUUGAUUUGAUAGAUGACAAGUGCUGAGUCUCCAAACACCUCAGAAUCUUCACUCUUAGGUCGAUAGUUGCUUCAAUUCCCAAGAUACAUGCUUCAUACUCCGUCAUGUUAUUGUGCAUUUGAAAACCUUGUCGUGAAGGGAAGAUGAAAAUCCUUUUGAGAAGUUAUAACAGCCCAAUUCCGUUACCCAAUGCAUUUGAGGCACCAUCGAACACGAGCUCCACCGCGAUCCUGGUUCGGGUCCUUCUUACGGGCCUGGAAUCUCAUAGUCUCUUAUGUACAUGACGUCUUCAUCUGGGAAGUCGAGUCUCAUCGAUUGAUAGUCUCCACUGGCUGGUGCGCAAGGUACUCUGAUAACACACUACCCUUAAUGGCCUUCUGAGUUACAUACUGAAUGUCAUAUUUUGAUAACAACAUUUGCCAGCGAGCAAUUCUGCCAAUUAAUCCAGGUUUCUCGAAGAUGUACUUGAUGGGAUCCAUCUUGGAUAUUACAUUGUUGUAUGACAAAUCAUAUACUGUCUCAGACGACGAGCAGCCAUGCUAAUGCACAACAAGUCUUUUCUAGCAUGGAGUACCUGAUUUCACAUUCUGUUAAACUUCUUGCUCAGGUAGGUAGGAUAGCAUGCUCUUUCUACCCGUCUCAUCGUGUUGCCCCAGUACACAUCCCAUGGAUUCAUCGAGUACUGUUAAAUACAUAAUGACGAGGCCUUCCUGGAACUGGUGGCACUAAGAUUGGUGGUUCUUGAGAUACUAUUUGAUUUUAUCGAAUGCACUAUGGCAAUCAUCGUUCACUAAUGGCUUGAUCUUUCUUAACAACUUGAAUAUUGGCUCGCAAGUGGCUGUCAGAUGCGAGAUGAAUCUGGAAAUAUAGUUCAAUCUUCCCAAGAAACCACGACUGCUUCUCUGUCCGAGGUGCUGGCAUCUCUUGAAUAGCUUUGACUUUGUCAGGAUCGACUUCUUUGCCUCUCUGGCUCACAAUGAAUCCUAGAAGUUUCCAGAUCUGACUCCAAAAGUGCAUUUAGACGGGUUUAAGCGCAGUCUAUAUUUCCUCAAUCUUACAAACAACUUCUUCAGAUGAAUAACAGCUCAUCUUUUGUCUGAGACUUGGCGAUCAUUGUCAUCCACAUAGACCUUCAAUUUCCAUUAUGUAUUCUAUCAUUGGAAAAGAAGUCACCAUGGCCCUUGAUAGGUUGCCCCAGGCAUUUUUCAGGCCGAAAGGCAUUACCUUAUAACAGAAAGUGCCCCAUGGUGUAAUGAAAGUUGUUUUCUCCAUAUUUCCGGGAGGACAUUUAAUCUGAUUAUAUCCUGAGAAUCCGUCCAUGAAGGAGAAUACAGAGAACUGAGAUGUGUUAUCUACCAAUACAUCAAUGUGAGGUAAAGGAAAAUCAUCUUUGGGACUAGCUCUAUUCAGGUCUUUGUAGUCUACACACAUUCGAACUUUUCCAUCUUUCUUCGGAACUGGCACAAUAUUAGCAAUCCACUGGGGGUAAGCUGCAACAGCUAGAAAACCUGCAUCAAACUGCUUCUUGACCUCUUCUCUAAUCUUGACAGCCAUGUCUGGUCGAGUUCUUCUCAACUUCUGCUUGAUGGGCGGGCAUUUCGGCUUCAACGGUAGCUUGUGCACAACUAUGUCGGUGUCGAGUCCUGGCAUAUCCUGAUAUGACCAAGCAAACACAUCCACAUAUUCAUGUAGUAGCUCGACUAGUUCCUCUUUCACACUUUUUUUCAAAGCAGUUCCGACCUUAACUUCCUUUCGAUCCUCCUAAGUCCCCAGAUUGAUCAUAUCCACUGGUUCCUGAUGAGGCUGAAUCAUCUCUUCCUCUUGUUUCAAAAGUCUAGUCAACUCUUCUGGGAGUUCACGGUCUUCCUUAUCAUCCUCUUCAUCUUGGUUAACCGGGAGGUCGAAGUCAUAAGGAAUUAUAGCAUUGUCGUGUUCAAUGGAUCGAGUUAUUAAUGAUCUGCAUGGAAAUGAUUUUUCUUUUUAGCGGAAGAUUUUGAAAAAUGAAAGUGAUGUGAAAUCAAAAUUGCCAUUUUUUAAUUUUGUUGUUUAUUUAUUUGUAAAAAAAAUUAAAAAGAUGAAAGACAGGGAUCUCAAAAAAUGUGCUUUGUAUUGAUGAUAAGGCUUAAAUAUUAACACAAAAUGGGCCCUACAAAGCUAUCCAUAUGCCUUGGGCAUGGCAUAAAAAAAAUUAAAAAGAUGAAAGACAGGGAUCUCAAAAAAUGUGCUUUGUAUUGAUGAUAAGGCUUAAAUAUUAACACAAAAUGGGCCCUACAAAGCUAUCCAUAUGCCUUGGGCAUGGCAUUGGAUGUUUCUAGAAAACAAUAAAUUACUUUGAAAAAGAAGCUAUAUCUGGAACAUCUGUUGCCUUCCAGUUAGUGAGAGCAGCAUCCGGAGGUCCACAAAACACCAUCUUGGACAAAUCUGGAUCUUCAUCUUCAAGAGCAUUCACUUGAUCAUCACUUAGGAAACCAACUUUGGAGAAUAUUUCCUGGAUGCUAGGAACCUUCCCCUGAUGUAUCUUCUGAUCUUUGAAAAGUUCAAUAGACGGUUGAUAUCCUAAUCCACACUUGUCUUUCUUCUUUGGUAAUUCAAUCACUGUGCCCCAACUUCCAGGGCAACCAGCUUCAAUUGCAGCUUUCACACUCUUCCACGAGGACAUGACCCCCUUGGGUUCUUCAACAAGUUUCGGCUUAGUCUGGACCACAUUGACCACUUCAAGGGCUUGGCGAGGAGUUUCAACAAUGUCUUCACCUACUUCAAUGUAUCUGAAAGAAGUCAAAUGGCUGACGAAAAUAUCUUCCUCUCCGGAUAUUGAUACCAGCUUACCAGAAGUAACAAACUUCAGCUUCUGGUGAAGUGUCGAGGUGACAGCUCCAGCAGCAUGGAUUCAAGGUCUACCUAACAGACAGCUAUAGGCAGGUCUAAUAUCCAUUACCUGGAAGGUAAUACGGAAAGUUUGAGGGCCAAUCAGGAUUGGGAGGUCAAUCUCCAUAAUAACUGUUCGCUUAGACCCAUCAAAAGCUUUUACUAUCAAAGCACUGGGUCUCAUCUGCACCCCUUCAAUAUUCAAUUGUGACAGGGUAGUCUUAGGUAACAUGUUCAAGGAUGAACCUGUAUCUACCAGUACUCGAGCCAAGGUAACAUCUGCACACUGAAUGGAGAUAUGAAGCGUCAUAUUAUGUUCUCGUCCAUUAGGGGGUAAAUCAUCAUCAGUGAACAUCAAACAACUACUAGCAUUGAGAUUAGCAACCACAUUAUCAAACUGAAUAACACUGAUGUCUUCUGCCACAUAAGCUUCGUUUAAGAACUUCAAUAAUCAUCAGUGAACAUCAAACAACUACUAGCAUUGAGAUUAGCAACCACAUUAUCAAACUGAAUAACACUGAUGUCUUCUGCCACAUAAGCUUCGUUUAAGAACUUCAAUAGAGCAGUCCUAUGAGCCUUAGAACUCAUAAGUAGAGGAAGAAUGGAGAUUUUUGAAGGAGUCUGGUUGAGCUGAUCUAUGACCUUGUAAUCACUCUUCUUGAUGAUCUUCAAGAAUUCUCUAUCCUCUUUAGCAGUCACUGCUUUCUUAGAUAAGCCUUCUCCUGCUUCUGGAGGAUUUACCUCUUUCCCCUUUGUUGGUUCAACUGUUGGUGCACUUUCUUUGUUUGGGAUCACUUCAGGAGCGAAAAACCUUCCACUUCGAGUCACACCACUAGCUCCAGCGAUGUUAGUCACGUCUGGCUCUUUCAAGAUUACUGGUUUGUUACCCACAUAAACUACAGGCUCAUAGUUCCAAGGCACUGCUUUGGUACUGUCAAAUGAGAAUGGAGCGGGAACAUAGAUAACCAUGGGCUCAAUCUUCUUCACUGGCUCUAGGUCAACAUUUCUCUUAUAAGGGACCACAAAAGGCUUGGGAAACCUCUCUUGAUCAAAUACAGGCACAAUCACAGCAACAUCCUCAUCAAUCUUUGCUCUAAUGAACUGAAUAACCCGUUGAUCCAUCAAACGUUAAAGAUAAAUUUUGAAUUCACCACACUAAUCAGGGUUGGAUGAACACACCACACAAUUAUCAUGUACUCCAUUCAUCAAUUCUGCUUCAAUCAAUCUAGCAUGGACCACCGUUAAAAGAGUCUUCAACUUGAACACAUCCUUUAUCAAUCCAUCAUCAGUUGAACUAUCUAUAGCAUUGACACCUGAACCAUCAUAUUUAGGCAAAGGAUUGUUCCCCACAUUUGGAACAUCAGCAAAAGACAAUAUUUUCUGAUCUAUCAACUCUUGGACCCGAAGCUUGAACACCUUGCAAUUCUCUGUUGUAUGACCCUCUGAAUUAUCAUAAAAGGCACAUCUAGCAUUCUCAUCAUACCAAGGCUUAUGCGGCUUCGGCAUUGGAGGUAAUGCCCUUGGCGAAACAGUCCCAUUCUGAAUCAGAUACGGUAGCAAUUAAGUGUAAGUCAUUGGGAUAGGAGUGGUAUUCACAUUAUUGUACUGUUGAUAUGGCCUCUGUUGAUUUGCUCAUUGCUGCUGAGUUGGACGUGGUUGAUUAUUUUGUUGAUUUCUCUGUUGAUGUUGAGGUGGAGGAGCCUGGAACUGAGGUUGUGGAGCUUGAUAUUAAGGAACUGGAACUUGAUAGUGAGGUAUCAGAGCUGGAAUAGGAACAUGAGCAAUUGGACGAUAAGGCAUGGUUGGAUAUUGAGCAGCUGCUACGUAAGGGUACUGAUAAUAAGGCACAGAAGCAGGAGCCCUGGGUGGUACCCUCCCCCUUUGAGAAGAAAUGACGCUAGUCUCUCCCUCCUUCCUCUUGAAUCCGUUGAAAGGCUUCUUCAAGAUUGGUUGACUGCUGGAACCUCCCUGGAUUUUACACACUACUGAUCAAUCUUUCAUAAUAUUGGCCCUACAAGGUUCCCAUGAAAAUGUCAAUCAAUUCACGAUCAACCAGCGGCGGGUGCACCCUUGCAGCCAAUUCUCUCCAGCGUUGUGCGUAUUCUUUAAAAGAUUCAUUGUCUUUCUGGGGCAUACUCUGAAGCUGAGUACGGUUUGGUGCCAUGUCAGUAUUAUAUUUGUAUUGCUUUACGAAUGCUUAAGCCAACUCAUCCCAAGUGUGGAUGUUGCUACAUUCCAAUUGCAUGUACCAGUCCAAAUAUGCCCCAGUUAGACUGUCCUGAAAGCAAUGGAUCAUGAGCUUAUCAUCUCUGGCAUAGGCAUCCAUUUUUCUGUAAUACAUUUUCAAAUGUAUGUUAGGACAUGUGAGGCCUUUGUAUUUUUCAAAUUCAGGCGCUUUGAAUUUUGGAGGAAUCACCACGUCUGGGACUAGACACAUCUCCAAGGCACUUAAACAGGUUGAGUUAUGUCCUUCUAAGAUUCUUAGCUUUUCGGCCAGAGCAUGACACAUCAAGAUAGCCUCAGAAUCUUGGGCAGCAGUAGGGAUGAGCAUUAGAGAAGCUCCAUUAUAAUUCUGCAUUUCAAACUCGUUCUGGAGCUCCUCAUCAGUGUGGGGCAUGACUACUUGAUUGACUAUCGGAGGUCCUUGCACAGCGACUCCAUCAGCUACUCUAGAAGUAUACGCAGGUGGAGGCACAUGAGUUCUUUCAGGCGGUGGAACAAAACCUGGAGGAAGACCGUAGAUAACGGGAUUUGGAAUAGGAACUGAAGGUCCUGACUGAAGAGCAACCCCUUGAACUAGAGCAUCGAAUGAGUUCUUUCAGGCGGUGGAACAAAACCUGGAGGAAGACCGUAGAUAACGGGAUUUGGAAUAGGAACUGAAGGUCCUGACUGAAGAGCAACCCCUUGAACUAGAGCAUCGUUCCUUGCAGCAGCGGUAACACGUGCCUUUUCUUCCCUUCUAGCCAGAGCUUGUAUAGCCUCAAAGAUCUGCUCGAUCUUGCUUUUGACAGAGUCCAUCUCCUCUCUGAAGGAAGCUUGUUCUUCUCUAACUACAUACAUGAUUCUUCUUGUGUUGGAGCGAGUAGCGUAUGCACGUUGAGGAAUCAGCUUGAACUACUAGAGACGAGGAAAAAUGGAAUGAGUUUUUGUUUUGAGAAAUAAAAUGCAUGAUGCAUAUGUUAAUGCACGUGGAUUUAAAAAUGUCUUUUAUGCUUAUGUUCAAUUUUAUUUUCAGGGAACCGUGUUAGAUUCCUUGUUAUUUAACAAGCAUUCGAAGAGAUCACGGGGAAUAAAACAAGAAUGGAACCAAACUUUUUGUACAAAAGAACUCAAAAUCCUUCAUUCAUUCAAUUCAAAACAGAGUACAAGGAUUGAGUACAAAAUAUUCUUUCAAACAUAAAGGAAUGUACAAAAAACCAGGGUUAGACUGUAGACUUCUUUUUGUUAAGCUCUUCCAACUCUCCUUUGAACCUUUUCAUCAUGUCUUCACAAAGAUAGAUAAAGCCAGUCACUGAAGGAGGGAUGUUGUCAUUGUCUAUGUCUUCCAGAGCACAUCUUAGCAUCAAAGGCAUAUUCUUAGCCAUGACAUUACAGAAGUCUAUCAAACUGGCAAACUUGUCUCGAUACUCAUUUCUUUCUUCAUGUAAAAACUGGAUGGUUUUCUUGCAGACUGCCAAACUAGCAUUCACAUUUUCCCCUGCGUUCAUCCAAUCUUCACCUUCUCGUAGCAAAGAGUCAUGUCGGCCUCUCCAGUAUCGUUCCCACUCAUUAGCAUUUUCAACCUCCUGGCACUUUCCUUUCCAUAUUUCAGGUGUAACCUGAGUAGCAGCCAGAGCACUCUCUUUACUACAGCGUUCUCGUUCUUCCCUUUCUUUUGACUCAUAGAGUGAAACACUGAGGUUGGCUAUCUCAGCCUCAAGCGUCUCUCUUAUCUCCUUCUUUUGUUUUGUGGCGAGCUUCCACCAUUUCUCUUUCUCACGACAAUCCCUCUCAGCCUUUUUCAGUUGGUUUUUGACGGUAUUCAAGCAGCUGUCAGCCUGAUCUAAACCAUGCUUGACUCUUUUUCUUUUAUACUCUUCCUUAUCCACCUUUUCCAUAUUUACCUGAAGCUGCAUUUUAUUCCUCUCGAGUUUCCAUUUAAACGCAUUCUUUUCAUUAGUGAUCAGGUGUAGGUUCUUCAACAACUCUUCAUUUUCCUUUGUAAGUUUCUCUAAAGAAGCUCGGAGUCCUUCUGCCUCCUUAAUUGGGACAUGAGUAGGUUUAGGCUCGGGAAGAGGACCAGACAUCUCUAUUUUGAAAGGCAUCUUGAUUGAUCUUACUCUUUCUUUUAUCCAUUGAAAGUAUGGCUCUUUGGUGAUACAAUUCUUCUUUCCUAGGCCAGCCUUACCUUUCCUGUUGACCUUUUCCCAUGCCUUCUUGAUCCUUGCAAACAAAGUUGGAUUCUCAACUCCUAGGUCAUGCAGCAAAAAGGCUUCCAAAGACUUCUCCUCAUGAGGUCCCUCCAGUGGGUACCCAAGUUUUCUCAUGGAUAAGACUGGAUUAGCAUUAAUACAACCUCGAGUACCAAUGAGUGGUAUGUUGGGGAAGUCCCAACAACUGGAUAUGAUUUUUGUAUCAUCAUACACCCUAGAGUACCAAGAAAUAUUGCUGGAUCGGAGUGAUCCCAACCUCUGGGGCCAACUAGCAUCCUUCUGAUCCACAAAGGGACCCCUAUUUGGAAGAUGGGUCUGCAACCAUGUGUACAAUAGAGGGGCACAACAAGCAACCAUUCCUCCCUUCUUUGCACUUCUCCAAGUCAUAUAAUAGAACACAUCAGCAAGAAGGGUAGGCACUGGAUUCUUCGUGAGGAAGAUGCAAAUGGCAGUCAUGUCUACAAAAUCGUCAAAGUUUGGGAACAAAACGAUUCCAUAAAUAGCCAAGGCAAUAGUAGCAUAGCAAGCCUCCCAACUUUGGGCCUCUAAUAGGGAGUAAGCUCUCUCUAUAAGAAAAUUGAGUGGAAACCCUUUGGUAUUUCCUUUCACUCCCAGGUUUGUAGUAACGUCCUUCUUAUGCAUGUGAAGGGCAGCAACUAUAACUUCAUGUUCCAAGGUCCCUUCGACACCCAUAAAUGGCAGUUUGUUUUUUAUGGGAAUACCAACAAGAUGUUCAAAUUCCUCCAACAUUGGUGCUAUUUGAAAAUCCUGGAAGGUGAAACAUCUCAUUGGUGAAUCAUAGAACUGGGCCAAGGUCAAAAGUACCAAAUUCCUCCAACAUUGGUGCUAUUUGAAAAUCCUGGAAGGUGAAACAUCUCAUUGGUGAAUCAUAGAACUGGGCCAAGGUCAAAAGUACCAGUGGGUCUGCUUCUUUGUUCAAGAGACUGAGCAGAUUUCCAUAAUGCUUCCUAAAGUUGAUCUUGUAGACUGGAUGGAGCUGAGAAACCAAUUCUUGUAGAACGUCUAAUUUAGGAUCUUUGAACUUGUAUGAGUAUAUGCUUCUCUUGUUCGAUCCCAUACUCUCUAAAUGCUUAUAACAUUGAUCCUCUAGUUCCCUGGAAACAAAAUGAAAAUGUUAUGUUUUGAUUAUGUGAUGAACGUGCAUGGUUUUAGAGUUACAGGUAACAUCAAACUCAGGUUGGGAAGAGUAACAGGAAAAAACUGGUAUCUCUGAUUAUAGGCACUCCAUGGGUAGGCUCUAUGGUUGAUAGGUUCCCAGAGUCAUGGAUCCUUCUUGAGAAUAUUAGUGUCAUGAAGAAGACUCGUUGAACAAUAAUAACCUCAAAAUGAUCUCUUCUAGGUGAGGUUUUCGUAUUGUCCCAAUGAGGAAGGCACCUCGUGGGCCAAUACUACACAACCAUCGAUUCCAAGGUUCUAAAAAAGGUCCCUAGAGUCACUUAUUCCACAUGAAAGCGUUAUCGCCAUGACGAAGGCUCGUCGGACAAUAACAUCUCCAAGAGAAUCUACUCUAGGCGGGGUCUUCGUAUUGUCCCAAUGAGGAAGGCUCCUUGUGGGCCAAUACUACACAACCACCAUCUUAAUCCUAUGUUUUUUCCUCAGACUCGGGUAGAGAGCCUAUCUCACAAAGUACGAAUAAUCAGAGAUCCCCACAAAUGCCAAUGAGAACCAAUAAACAAAUCACAAAUAACAAUACAAUGAGAUAUCAACAACAACAAAAAGAUAGAAAAAUAAAUCAAACAAAGCUAACACUAAACACAAAUAAAACUGAGUUAGGUCUGACUCUCUCUAGGUUGGAGCUCUCAGUCCCCAGCAGAGUCGCCAGCUGUCGUAUCUCGAAAAACGCGAUCCUUCGCGAGGCGCUCGCACGCUCGCGGAAAAGAUGUUCGAACAGAGUCGCCACCGAACUUUAUUUAUUCCAAUUAAGGAAAGGGAAAAUAUUAAUAAACCCCAAAAAAACAAAAAGAAAAUGGUCGUCGCAACCAAAUUCGGGUUCGGGAGUCGGUUACGCAAGGGGAAGGUAUUAGCACCCCUCACGUCUGUUGUACUCAACGGGAACGACUUAGUUAAACUUAUGAUAGAGUGUUAGCUAAUGUUAAUUUAUUAUCUUCUACUUAUCGAGCGAGAAAAAGAAAGAAAGAAAGGAAAGACUUAGAUUUUUUUUAUAUUAAUGUGCCUGACAAGAUUUCGCAAUCCUGCUCCUACGUAUCUUCAGGUGCUAUGAAGAACUCAAGGCAUACGUAGUUCUACCCAAAGAGAACUACUGGGUGGAUUGCUUUUAAAGAAAGUGAUGCUUGGAUCAUAUUUGAGCGUAAAACCUUUACUUGCUGCUCGCUAUUGGAGGCUGAAGUCUUUGUUUGUUUCGCAUCAAAAUGGAUGUUGCAUACUCUCUUCUGAAAAUGUUUUCAUGGUCGCGCAAGGGUGGAAAACAAGUUUGAUUGGUUUAAGUGUUUUGUUUGGAUGACGAUUACUCGAAUGGCCGAGUAAGGCUACUCGUAUCCAAGUGCUCGAGAAGAGGAAUAAAAGGCUCUAGACCAUCUCCCUUUUCAUCCUUAAUUUGUGAAAGAAGUUAAAUAAUCUUAAAGUAUUUUGGACGGACGAUAAAUACUCGAAUGGCCGAUUAUGGCUACUCGUAUCCAAGUACUCGAGGAAGGGAAUGGAAGGCUCCAUACCACCUCCUUUUUCGUCUAAGUUUGUUGCGAAAUUGAGUUUAACUAAAGGUUUGAUUAUGAAAGUAAUUUGGAUGUGGCGGGGGCUUAGAAGUUUUUAACAGAUGUCAAUUUCUUGAAUGGCCGAGUAAGGCUACUCGUAUCCAAGUAAUUGAGGAGAGGAAUCGAAAACUCGAGACCAUCUCCCUUUUCAUCUUUUUUGAAAUAAUGUUUAAAUAUAAUUAGGUAUUUUGAAUUUGAUUAGGGAAAAGACACUCGAUGUUGGGUCGAGGUUUUUAUUAAUUGCGUUUGAAUUGAAACAUACAAAAUGAUUUGAUGGUUUUGAAAAUGAUGGAGAAGCGAAUAAUGGAAAUGAUUCUGAUUUGUGAAAAUUGCUCGACGUUGGAUCGAGUGUUUUUUUUAAGUGUUGAUUUUAAUCUUCGAAUUAACGAUCAACUGAUACAAUAAAGUAAAUGAAAGCAGUAAACUUAUUACAUAUUUACGGGAAUGAGGGUACACUUUAUCGAAUGGGGAUAUGACACAAUAACUAAAUCAUACAAGUUUUGAAAGACAGUUGUAAAAAUAAAAGAAUCUCGUUGUAAGAAGGCCCAAGAGAAAGCGAAGGGACUCGAAAUAAAAUCAGAAAUUUAGCGUAAUGUUUAAGCAGUCGUAAAGCGAUUCAUGUAUGAAUCAUCCUAUCCGAGGCCGAUCGACAAAUAUUUAUGCAUUUAAGCAAUUUCUGAAGUUAAAUUGAAUUUUUAACUUAAAAAUUGUGAUGCAUCUGUGAAAAAUCGAUGGGACAAAUAAAAUCGAUUUUUUUUAUUUAAAAUUAACAAAUAUGACAAUAACAAUAAACAAUAAUAAUAAUAAUAAUAAUAAUAAUAAUAAUAAUAAUAAUUAAUAAUAAUAAUAAUCAAUAAUAACAAUUAAUCAAUAAUAAUAAUAAAAUAAUAAUAAUAAUGAAAACAGUAAUAAUAAUUAAUCAAUAAAUAUUAAAAACAAUAAUAAUAAUAAUAAUCAAUAAAAAAUAAUAAUAGACAAUAUAAUAAUAAUAAUAAUAAUAAUAAUAAUAAUAAUAAUAAUAAUAAUAAUCUAUACAAAAUAAUAAUAAAUAAUAUAAUAAUAAUAAUAUAUAAUAAAAAUUUCUAUAAUAUAAAUAGUAAUAAACAUUAUAAUAAUAAUGAUGAUGAUGAUAAUAAUAAUGAGGAUAAAAAUAAUAAUAAAUAAUAUAAUAAUAAUAAUAUAUAAUAAAAAUUUCUAUAAUAUAAAUAGUAAUAAACAUUAUAAUAAUAAUGAUGAUGAUGAUAAUAAUAAUGAGGAUAAUAAUAAUAAUAAUAAUAAUAAUAUAGUAAUAAUUAUAGUAAUAAUAAAACAUGAACAAAACAAAUAAAGAAAUGAGAGGAAAAAAAAAGAGAGAGAAAAAGGUGGGACGGUGCUGUUCUACUGAAAAAGAGAAAUGAAAGCAUUAUUAUUUAUUUCAUUUUUUUUAAAAUCCACUAAAAAGAUGACAAGUGUCUAAAGGAAAGAAAAAAAAAAUUUGCUCUUCAUCCUGCUUGAUGAACCGUGACAACAACAAACACCAUUUUUUGAAUAAAAAUUUUGUCCUCCUUCCUCAAAUUCACAUGAAUAGCAACAACAACAUAUGUUUAUUUUCAUUAUUAUUUUUUUUUCUUAACAACAAAGCUCAACUUCUCACUUCAUCAAUCAAAAUGCAGUGCCACACAAAAAGAAAAGAGAAAAGUAAAGUCAACCUCCGAUGAAGAUCCACGGUGCUCGGCGGUGAGGGUGGAGUUCUGAAGGUUGAAGGAGUUGCAUAGGGUUGUGACCAGAGCACAAUGGUUUUUUCCGGAGUUUAACGAAUGUGUUUCCGGUGUGUAGAGGUGUGUUAGUAUACUUCAUUUUUCUUCCUCCGUUUUAGCUUACAAUUCCAUUUCCGAGUUUUGUUGUUCCUCUUUAUUUGUGGCUUAUGUUUUGUUUUCUAGAUUUGGUUUGAUGUAGGUUAUUAUGUGAGUUAUAUGAGAGGAGGAGAGUUAUGUCAUGGUUUAUGUGUUGUUGUGAGGAUGAAAAAUGAGUUAUGUGUUUGUGAGAUGUUGGAAGUUGUUGUUGAUGUUUAGAGAGGGAAAAAAAGAGUAUGAAGAGUUAUGGUGUGUUGGUAUGAAAAUGAUUUUGGUGGUUAUGUGGUGAUGGAAAAGAUGAAGGUGAUUAUGUUGCAGAGAAGAUGAUGAGGAAAAAUGAAGAUUGUUUUGGUGAGUAGAGUGGAGAAGAAGGAAAAGUGAGGGUGGGUGAAAAAAAGUUGCAGGUGUUCUUCUUACGUCAUACACCAAAAGAACUUCUUCUCGAAAAAAUAUAAUAUAUUGAGAUGAGAAAACCUCACGUGCAUGAAAGAAAAACAAAAUAUCUCUUGGACAGUGUUUGGAUCUUUCUCUUUGAGAAAAAAAUGUUUUUUUUUAACAUGUGGGUGUGAGUUGGUCACAUGGCCUUUCAUGAAUGGAGAAGGAGAAC